AUUGAACGCUGGCGGCAUGCUUUACACAUGCAAGUCGAACGGCAGCGGGGGCUUCGGCCCGCCGGCGAGUGGCGAACGGGUGAGUAAUGCAUCGGAACGUGCCCAGUCGUGGGGGAUAACACAUCGAAAGAUGUGCUAAUACCGCAUACGUCCUGAGGGAGAAAGCGGGGGAUCUUCGGACCUCGCGCGAUUGGAGCGGCCGAUGUCGGAUUAGCUAGUUGGUGGGGUAAAGGCCCACCAAGGCGACGAUCCGUAGCGGGUCUGAGAGGAUGAUCCGCCACACUGGGACUGAGACACGGCCCAGACUCCUACGGGAGGCAGCAGUGGGGAAUUUUGGACAAUGGGCGCAAGCCUGAUCCAGCCAUGCCGCGUGAGUGAAGAAGGCC
rnacentral:rRNA from 1 species